rnacentral:misc_RNA from 1 species
UCACGUCUUGCGACGGCAGUUUCACUAGAGUUCCCAGCAUUACCUGAUGGCAACUAGUGAUGGGGGUUGCGCUCGUUGCGGGACUUAACCCAACACCUCACGGCACGAGCUGACGACAGCCAUGCAGCACCUGUGUUCCAAUUCCCUUUCGGGCACACCCACCUCUCAGCGGGCUCUCGGACAUGUCAAGGGUAGGUAAGGUUGUUCGCGUUGCAUCGAAUUAAUCCACAUCAUCCACCGCUUGUGCGGGUCCCCGUCAAUUCCUUUGAGUUUUAGUCUUGCGACCGUACUCCCCAGGCGGGGCACUUAAUGCGUUAGCUGCGCCACCAACGAGCAAGCCCGCUGACAGCUAGCACCCAUAGUUUACGGCGUGGACUAC